GCUCUAUCUGCGCAUGUGCAGCUCCGGUCCCGCCUCCGUGCUGCCUCUGCUCUAAGCACGGUCGCAUAGUGUCUGACGGCUGUUCUGGUGCGCGCUGAUAGCGAGGGUCCACCGCAGGUGAUGGGGAGUCUGUAUGGCCUGGGCACCAGCUUGUGCCCGGGGAGGGGAGAACAGGAAGUCCAAAAGUCCUCUAGAUUCUGUGCCGCUCUCAGCCUGCCUAUCAACACAGGGAGCAACACUGACUUACACUGACCUCAUGGAAUCUCAGAGUGAUGUCCCACCCAGGGUAUCUGCCUAAUGAAAGCUUGAACGAAAUUGAACCGCAGUGAUUCAGUGACCUGUGAAUUGAAACUCAGUUUCUGACAGAGCCAGAAGGAAAGCACAGUGAAGUUGACUUUGAUAAGUUGACUUUGGUGGUGCUACAGCGUCCUUCCUAGGCCUCCCAGUGGAACCUUCCAGUUCCCUCCACUUUCCCCAGAGCAACAGAAUGGACACAUUCCAGUGUCAUUCAAGGACGUGACUGUGGAGUUCACCCAGGAAGAGUGGCAGUACAUGGAUCCUGUGCAGAGGACCCUGUACAGAGACGUGAUGCUGGAGAACUACAGCCACCUGGUCUCAGUGGGAAAUGUGUUCUCUGCUGAGCCAUUACAGAUUUUGAUAUACCAAGCACUGAUACAUUCUUUACAUCCUUCAACUUAAGGAAAAAUGAAUAUGAUCUCUAUGAAAACUGCCAAGUUGUGUGUCAGAUUCACCACAUGGGAGAAGCUCUUGUUAACAGAUCUGCUAUUAACCACAACUUUCAUUAAUCACACAAAUACCAUUUAAAAUGGAUACCAUCCUCAGAUGAUUUCCAUCAGCACAGAGAUCCUUGUGCAGAGUUGGGGUGUUUCCCAAAAGUGAAGCUUGGCCCAUUAUUGAGGUGCCCUUCCCAAGUUGGAGAGGUCUGCCCUCUGCAUCCACGGCACAUUCAUCCUGAGGGGCUGGGCUUUCAUUUUACUGACAUGAGAACACUUGAAGAUGAGGAUGCGACGGUGGUCCUAUGUUGGACACAGGAGUGUUCAUGGAGAGAACCAGAGUUAAUACCAGUCAUUAAAAAAACAAAAAACAAACCCAAAGCUUCUGUCAUUUCUGAAUAGGAAGGAGGAUAAUACCCAAGGAAAUUUUACCCUAGUAAAGUUGGAGAUGUACUGGAAGCCUCAAAAAAUUAGUUCACUUAGCUCAGGUGGCCAAAUAUCCAGAAGGUGUGUAGUUCCCUGGGAUAUGUGGUGGAUUCCCUGCUGUUCCUGUUCCUGCUGCUGUUGUUACUGGAUCUCUAGAGUUCACAUAGCACAACCUCAUACAUAGGGUCUCACUUGAAAAGAAGGGGUAGAGAAAAAUGAGAUGAGAAGAUUUGGGCAUUUCUAGGUAAUGAGUG